ACAGUUUCUCAUCAUGCGCUGGCACCUCCACUACCUUCUAAAUAAUCCUGGGGCUUCCCAAAACAUCUGUGGCUGUUGGUUUUGGUGCACAGUUCUGCAUCUGAACAGAUGGUGCUGUUGAAUGCAUAGCCAAGUUUUUUUAGCACCUGUGAGAAUGGGCAAAAACGUACUGUCCCAAGAUAUCCAUAACUGCCACACAAAAAUCAGUAUAUUAAAUGAAAUGGAUACAGAUACAGCUUUGUUUUUAAAUAAAGAAUUCAUUCCAUGA